AGGUUGAAGACCACUGAUUAUUAUAAUCAAUCCUUUGGGAUUGGAAGUCGCUUCCUGAUCCCUCCAUUUCGUCUUUACAAAAUGUUUCCAAAAGGAGUUCGGAUAAAUAAUCAACUUUCCUUCGUAAUCUAGUAACUGUUCUGUUGAAUGUGUCUAGUUCUAACUCGCGGCCAACAUAAACAUGUAUCAACACAUCAACCAUUAACACCUUGACAAAACAUCCAAAACAUGGUAAUAACAUUAUGCAGCAUUCAUGUGUUACACUAGCAAACUAUGGUGAUGAACUUUGUCAAAAGCUUUGGAAAAAUCUAACAGUGCUAUUAAAUAGCAUUCAUCAUGAGGCGAAGGAUGUUACAAGUUCUUCAAGCAUUGAUGGUCCUGAGCAUCACUUUUUUUCUAUAUAGCUUUGUGUUUCUAGAUCUUUCCAUCGGUUCUCCAAAAAAUAUAUUAGU
rnacentral:sRNA from 1 species